UGCAGUCGAGCGCACCUUCGGGUGAGCGGCGGACGGGUUAGUAACGCGUGGGAACAUACCCUUCUCUACGGAAUAGCCAUUGGAAACGAUGAGUAAUACCGUAUACGCCCUUCGGGGGAAAGAUUUAUCGGAGAUGGAUUGGCCCGCGUUAGAUUAGAUAGUUGGUGGGGUAAUGGCCUACCAAGUCUACGAUCUAUAGCUGGUUUUAGAGGAUGAUCAGCAACACUGGGACUGAGACACGGCCCAGACUCCUACGGGAGGCAGCAGUGGGGAAUCUUAGACAAUGGGCGCAAGCCUGAUCUAGCCAUGCCGCGUGAGUGAUGAAGGCCUUAGGGUUGUAAACCUCAAAAAUUAGGGAAGAAAAAAAUGACGGUACCUAAAAUAAGCAUCGGCUAACUCCGUGCCAGCAGCCGCGGUAAUACG
rnacentral:rRNA from 1 species